CCCGUCGCCGGCCCUCCCCCUCAUCCACGGCCCACCACACAUCCUAGAAUGCUGUGGUGAUGCAGCUGGGGCAGGCAUCGAUGACGCCAUCACCGCGGCACACCACGAUGCCGUAUUAUACAGUCUUGGUCAGUUCGUGUGGAUGAGGCGCUAGUGAAUAGAGCAGUAGAUAGGAGCUCAAGGUUUGCUUUGUAGGUGCUCUUGUUCAUGUGGGUGUCUCUGUAGUAGCAGAUAUGCGUCAGUGGAUUGACGGCAGCGACGAAUGGCUCGAAGCCGAGAAUAAGCAGCAAGACAAUGAUCAUGGCUCUGCCUAUAAUUCAGCUCUGCCCCCUCCAGCAGCUUCCUUGUUAUAAGCAUCAUUUGGAAAACUCGUCUGUCUUACGGUUUGACCGCUUACUUGUUUAGUGAUUAUCUGAUGAUAUCAGCUUGCAGGCCGUGCAAUCAAAUUUCGUGGAAUACAAUAGUGCUGCCGUCCAGGCAUCAGCCUAUGUAAUGGCUACAAGCAAUGCAAGACAAGGGGAGAGAACAAUAACAAAUCGAGUUUCAGUGUUUCCGUCAACAGAGAAGAGGUCUUCUUAUGACCUUGAGGGAGGUAUUCCGGCGGAGAGGGACCGGCAGGAGAGGGACAGUUCAUCUCGCUGCUCAUGACCUCCAUCAGAUUCUCCUCCGAGCUUGCCUGCCGAGAUGCCAGCACUGCUUGUUUGUAUAGAUGCUCAAGAAGACUGCUCAAAGGAGGACAGUUUGUAGGAUAGUUUGUGUGACAAUGCGAGCACUACCUGUUUGUAUAAAUGCUGAAGGAGAAAACUGUUCGGAGAAGGACAUGUGUGUGAGAGAGAGGGAAGGAGAAACAGGGGCCGGGAGUAAGAGGUGAAGAGCAAGGAGAACCACAUGUUGUCCCUUUGUCAUCGACACCAUCCCGCCGUUGCAGGCUUGUCCCGGUGGCCUUUCGCUUGGUGUGCUGUUACCCUGGCCUGGUUCUUUGUCUCUGCCUCUUUCAUGGUUUCUUCCUUUCGAAGAUUUAUUUUUUGUCUCCCUUCUAAAGGUAAGUUCUGCCUUAGCAUCCUUCAUGUUGUAACACAAACAAAAUAUUAGUGAUCUGACAGCAACACCAUUUUCUGUUGAGUUAUUUAAUUUAGAUGAUUGCUGCUAUACAACUUGACUGCCAAAUUCUGUAGCAUUUUCUACUUGAUAAAUAAAGAACCAGGUCACACCAUUUUCUUUACUUUAUUAUUCGGAUUAUGGGUGUGUUUGGUUGAUGUCCUCGUCGUUGCGCGCCUGGCCUGAGCUGUGCCUGAAGUCUGCCUGGUGAUUGUUUGGUUGGCAUCCUGAGAAAGAAAGUACUUGCCUGGCCUGGUUGUGCCGGUAGUGUGAUUAGCCUGGCCAGUAGAAUAAAAAAUACAAAAAGGGACGUAGUCAGCCCAGGCAGCGUGAUUUGCCUGGCCCAGGCGCCCCAUCCCAUGCGCCUGGACAUGCUUCCACACCAGCCUGGUACUAAUUGGAUCAAGUAGCAGCAAAGGUUUGCUAUUUAAAAAUUCUAUAAGCACACAAGGACAGAACAGCAAGCAAGGAAACGAACCAAACGUUCACCGACCAGGCUUGCCUGGCCAGGCACAAUUUUCCUUCAUCUCAGGCAUUGUCCAGGCACCAUUUUUUCUCAGGCAAAGCGUCCAGGCCUUCAACCAAACACGCUCUAUAUGCAGGAGUUUUGGUGUGGAUUAUAGAUUCUACAGUUACUCUUAGCUUGUCAGCUUUGUUGAUCCUAAUUUACGAUGUUCACCAAGGAUUACAGACCAUGAUACCUUCA